rnacentral:tRNA from 1 species
GGAGAUGGAGCUCAGUGAUAGAGCACUUACCAAGCAAGCACAAGGCCCUGGGUUCAAUUCCCAGCACCUCAG